rnacentral:ncRNA from 2 species
CUCUAGUCUGGCAUUGUAAGGCGAUAUAGGAGGUGCAGCAUAGGUGGGAGGGCUUCCUCGUGGAGCUCGCCUCUGAGAUACCACCACUCUUACUGUUGCCUUACUUACAUGAUUGGGUGGAACAAGCGCGGGCCCCAGGUCCGGAUCGUGCGCGCACCUCCUCCGGGGGGCUGGUGCGUCGGGUUAGGAG